CAAUCCCCUCAUCAAUGGCGGGUCUCUCUGUUUGCUUACUUUCUUCGUCUCUCUCCCUCGAACUUAGAGAUUCACUGAUCUCUCUCUCAUGGAUGACAAUGGAACCAUUUGAUUUUCAAAGACGGAAGGAAGAAAGAAGAUGAACCUUCUUCCCUAAUCCCAAAACAUUCCCCUCUUGACACGAACGGUUAUUUUUCCCUUUUCUUUUCUACAAUCUCUAUCAGAUCUUUUCCUUCUAAUCCACCAUUUUCUCACGGAUUUUGCUUUAACAUCACUUUCUGUUCGUAUACCGGACGUGUAUCGUCUUUUCGCUAUUCACGCGUUUGAUUUCUUCUUUGCUUUUAAAUUCAGCAUUGUUUCUUCUGCGAUAGAUAGAAAUUUUGGAUGUAGUUCUGGUUUCAAAUUUGAGGACAGUACAAGAUUGUUAUUUCUCUUUGAAGAUUCUGCUACUUUCUUGACUUGGUUGGACUGAAGUAUAACUGUUUCCUUUAUUUUUUGUGGUUAUUUAUGGUUUCUUCUUGAAUUUCUGUAUUCGUGAGUGGCUUCGGUGGUUUAUAUUCUCGCAAGAGCCUUGUUCAAGUAAAUUUGGAGUUGUUUUGAGAUUUUGAAUUGGUGACGAAUUUGUUACGCAAUUUCUAACGGUUCUCAAGUGUUAAAAAUUCCUCAGAAAUCAUGUAGGAGAUGCAUAUUCUGUUCUUCGAGUAAAGGUGUUUUGUCAAAUUGCGAGUCUUCAAACAGAAUCACUUCAACACAAUGAAAAAUUUGAUUAGUUCUGUAGUCAUUGUUAGCGGUGAAAAACUUAAUUGGAAGCUGAUUAGGCUGUGGAUUACAGUCAACUUAAUCUUCAUCGGUAUGCUGGUGUCUGCCAUGUACAGGUGCGUUCUGUGUCAAAGAUUCUCAGUAACUCUUUUGUUUUGCUUUUUGGUACUCAUGACUGAAGUUUGGGGUUCUUGGUUUCAGUUCGAAAUAUAUAAAUAUUGCAAUGGAAUUUUGAAAAAUGUGACAAACAUAAUGACUGCUUCCAUGUGGUGUUGCUAAAUAAUUUAUUAUCUGUGCCGUUUGGUGGAGUAUUGAUUUUCUAAUUUGGUGAAUGGGCUUAUGUAGUGAAUGCGUUAGUAGAUUCUUGUUCCUUUUU